rnacentral:rRNA from 1 species
UCAGGAUGAACGCUGGCGGCGUGCUUAACACAUGCAAGUCGAACGAAGCACUUACGAUUGACUGGAGAGCUUGCUCGAAGGGAUUUGUUUGUGACUUAGUGGCGGACGGGUGAGUAACGCGUGGGUAACCUACCUCAUACAGGGGGAUAACAGUUGGAAACGACUGUUAAUACCGCAUAAGCGCACGGUAUCGCAUGAUACAGUGUGAAAAACUCCGGUGGUAUGAGAUGGACCCGCGUCUGAUUAGCUAGUUGGAGGGGUAACGGCCCACCAAGGCAACGAUCAGUAGCCGACUUGAGAGAGUGAUCGGCCACAUUGGGACUGAGACACGGCCCAAACUCCUACGGGAGGCAGCAGUGGGGAAUAUUGCACAAUGGAGGAAACUCUGAUGCAGCCGACGCCGCGUGAGUGAAGAAGUAUUUCGGUAUGUAAAGCUCUAUCAGCAGGGAAGAUAAUGACGGUACCUGACUAAGAAGCCCCGGCUAACUACGUGCCAGCCGCAGC